rnacentral:rRNA from 1 species
GACGAAGGAUGCAAGCGUUAUCCGGAUUCAUUGGGGUUAAAGGGAGCGUAGGUGGCCUUAUAAGUCAGUGGUGAAAUCUCUGGGCUUAACCCAGAAAUUGCCAUUGAUACUGUAGGGCUUGAGUAUAGUUGCCGUUGGCGGAAUAUGACAUGUAGUGGUGAAAUACAUAGAGAUGUCAUAGAACACCGAUUGCGAAGGCAGCUGACGAAACUAUAACUGACACUGAGGCUCGAAAGUGUGGGGAUCAAACAGG